UGAGUGAGAAUCAGCCGUCUUCAGGCAGAC
rnacentral:sRNA from 1 species